AUACGUAGGGGGCGAGCGUUGUCCGGAAUGAUUGGGCGUAAAGGGCGCGUAGGCGGCCGCUUAAGUCUGGAGUGAAAGUCCUGUUUUCAAGAUGGGAAUUGCUUUGGAUACUGGGGGGCUUGAGUGCAGGAGAGGUUAUCGGAAUUCCCGGUGUAGCGGUGAAAUGCGUAGAGAUCGGGAGGAACACCAGUGGCGAAGGCGGGUAACUGGACUGCAACUGACGCUGAGGCGCGAAAGUGUGGGGAGCAAACAGGAUUAGAUACCCUGGUAGUCCACACUGUAAACGAUGAAUGCUAGGUGUAAGAGGUAUCGACCCCUUUUGUGCCGGAGUCAACACAAUAAGCAUUCCGCCUGGGGAGUACGGCCGCAAGGUUGAAACUCAAAUGAAUUGACGGGG
rnacentral:rRNA from 1 species